UUUGAUGAUUUUCAUCAAUGGAGCAGCUUCUUGGAUUGGAUGGGACAAUUUAGAUUUAAAUAUAGUUUUGUAAUUCUUAUUUUGAUUCUGGAAUUCUGGUUUGCAGAAAAUUUUGUUCAACUUUUUCCUUGUCUUGUUACAUGCUAGAAUUAGAUUAAGUGGAAAUCAUUUAACCAGUGUUACUUUAUAUAAUGUUUACUGGUGUGG
rnacentral:misc_RNA from 1 species